rnacentral:piRNA from 1 species
UUCAGUGAGGAAAUAUAAAAC